rnacentral:rRNA from 1 species
CUUCCUAGGGGCGCAGCAGUGAGGAAUAUUGGUCAAUGGGAGAGAUCCUGAACCAGCCAAGCCGCGUGAGGGAAGACGGCCCUAUGGGUUGUAAACCUCUUUUGUCGGAGAACAAAACCCGGGACGAGUCCCGGACUGCGUGUAUCCGAAGAAAAAGCAUCGGCUAACUCCGUGCCAGCAGCCGCGGUAAUACGGAGGAUGCGAGCGUUAUCCGGAUUUAUUGGGUUUAAAGGGUGCGUAGGCGGUCUGUUAAGUCAGCUGUAAAAUUGCUGGGCUCAACCCCGUCGAGCCGUUGGAACCGGCAG